rnacentral:rRNA from 1 species
UGCAAGUAGAACGCUGAAGGAGGAGCUUGCUUCUCUGGAUGAGUUGCGAACGGGUGAGUAACGCGUAGGUAACCUGCCUGGUAGCGGGGGAUGACUAUUGGAAACGAUAGCUAAUACCGCAUAAUAGUAGAUGUUGCAUGACAUUUGCUUAAAAGGUGCAAUUGCAUCACUACCAGAUGGACCUGCGUUGUAUUAGCUAGUUGGUGGGGUAACGGCUCACCAAGGCGACGAUACAUAGCCGACCUGAGAGGGUGAUCGGCCACACUGGGACUGAGACACGGCCCAGACUCCGACGGGAGGCAGCAGUAGGGAAUCUUCGGCAAUGGACGGAAGUCUGACCGAGCAACGCCGCGUGAGUGAAGAAGGUUUUCGGAUCGUAAAGCUCUGUUGUAAGAGAAGAACGAGUGUGAGAGUGGAAAGUUCACACUGUGACGGUAUCUUACCAGAAAGGGACGGCUAACUACGUGCCAGCAGCCGCGGUAAUACGUAGGUCCCGAGCGUUGUCCGGAUUUAUUGGGCGUAAAGCGAGCGCAGGCGGUUAGAUAAGUCUGAAGUUAAAGGCUGUGGCUUAACCAUAGUACGCUUUGGAAACUGUUUAACUUGAGUGCAAGAGGGGAGAGUGGAAUUCCAUGUGUAGCGGUGAAAUGCGUAGAUAUAUGGAGGAACACCGGUGGCGAAAGCGGCUCUCUGGCUUGUAACUGACGCUGAGGCUCGAAAGCGUGGGGAGCAAACAGGAUUAGAUACCCUGGUAGUCCACGCCGUAAACGAUGAGUGCUAGGUGUUAGACCCUUUCCGGGGUUUAGUGCCGCAGCUAACGCAUUAAGCACUCCGCCUGGGGAGUACGACCGCAAGGUUGAAACUCAAAGGAAUUGACGGGGGCCCGCACAAG